rnacentral:rRNA from 1 species
AACGAACGCUGGCGGCAUGCCUAACACAUGCAAGUCGAACGAUCCCUUCGGGGAUAGUGGCGCACGGGUGCGUAACGCGUGGGAAUCUGCCCUCAGGUACGGAAUAACUCAGGGAAACUUGAGCUAAUACCGUAUAAUGACUUCGGUCCAAAGAUUUAUCGCCUGGGGAUGAGCCCGCGUCGGAUUAGCUAGUUGGUGAGGUAAAAGCUCACCAAGGCGACGAUCCGUAGCUGGUCUGAGAGGAUGAUCAGCCACACUGGGACUGAGACACGGCCCAGACUCCUACGGGAGGCAGCAGUGGGGAAUAUUGGACAAUGGGCGCAAGCCUGAUCCAGCAAUGCCGCGUGAGUGAUGAAGGCCUUAGGGUUGUAAAGCUCUUUUACCCGGGAAGAUAAUGACUGUACCGGGAGAAUAAGCCCCGGCUAACUCCGUGCCAGCAGCCGCGGUAAUACGGAGGGGGCUAGCGUUGUUCGGAAUUACUGGGCGUAAAGCGCACGUAGGC